rnacentral:rRNA from 1 species
UACGGAGGAUGCGAGCGUUAUCCGGAUUUAUUGGGUUUAAAGGGUGCGUAGGCGGUCCGUUAAGUCAGCGGUCAAAGCCCGGGGCUCAACUCCGGACGUGCCUCUAAUACUGUAUGACUAGAGAAUAGAUGCGGUAGGCGGAAUGUAUGGUGUAGCGGUGAAAUGCGUAGAGAUCAUACAGAACACCGAUUGCGAAGGCAGCUUACCAAACUAUAUCUGACGUUGAGGCACGAAAGCGUGGGGAGCAAACAGG